rnacentral:rRNA from 1 species
ACGGGAGGCAGCAGUGGGGAAUAUUGGGCAAUGGGCGAAAGCCUGACCCAGCAACGCCGCGUGAAGGAAGAAGGCCUUCGGGUUGUAAACUUCUUUUGUCAGGGACGAAGGACGUGACGGUACCUGACGAAUAAGCAACGGCUAACUACGUGCCAGCAGCCGCGGUAAUACGUAGGUUGCAAGCGUUGUCCGGAUUUACUGGGUGUAAAGGGCGUGUAGGCGGAGCUGCAAGUCAGAUGUGAAAUCCCGGGGCUCAACCCCGGAACUGCAUUUGAAACUGUAUCUCUUGAGUGUCGGAGAGGUAGAUGGAAUUCCUAGUGUAGCGGUGAAAUGCGUAGAUAUUAGGAGGAACACCAGUGGCGAAGGCGAUCUACUGGACGAUAACUGACGCUGAGGCGCGAAAGCGUGGGGAGCAAACAGGAUUAGAUACCCUGGUA